rnacentral:rRNA from 1 species
ACCAGCAGCCAUACCACCUGCAGUUCAGGCUAGGUAAUCCAUCUGAAGCCAAGCAGGUUUGGACAUGGCCAAUACCUGGAUGGAAGACCAGCAAGGAAAGCUGGGUUGCUGCUGGAA